rnacentral:misc_RNA from 1 species
GAUGAAGAACGUAGCGAAAUGCGAUAAGUAAUGUGAAUUGCAGAAUUCCGUGAAUCAUCGAAUCUUUGAACGCACAUUGCGCCCCCUGGUAUUCCGGGGGGCAUGCCUGUCCGAGCGUCAUUGCAACCCUCAAGCGCGGCUUGUGUGUUGGGCUUCGUCCCCCCGUGGACGUGCCCGAAAGGCAGUGGCGGCGUCCCGAAUGGUGCCCGAGCGUAUGGGAACUCUCUUCCGCUCGAACCGGCCCAUUCGGCGCUGGUCGAACCCCAAUUUUUUUUUACCGGUUGACCUCGGAUCCGGUAGGGAUACCCGCUGAACUUAAGCAUAUCAAUAAGCGGAGGA